CACGAUCUUUCAACAAGAACUGGUACCUCCGAAACCCCUGGCUAGCCGGCUGUGUAGCCAAUGCACUUUUUUGCUACCCUUGCCUUUGCUUCCACCCAGAAAACAACACGGCAGACGGUACAGCCUGGACAUUAAAAUAGGCUCUCGGACAAAGUUAAGAGGCACGAGAAAGCAAGGAAUCACACGGACAGCUGUCUCAAGUUUUCAGCCAUAGCUGAGUGGGAUCUCAAAUUUUUUUUUUCCACGGUCCACCCAGGCUGACCAGCAUUCUCGAUCAGGUCGUCACUCGAAGGGCCCUCCAGAGGUUCACAAGCAGUGUGCUGGUCAUAGGGACUCCACCUCACAUCACCAGGUCCAGGGAGAACCAUCUACCAAACGAGCAAGAACAGCCUUGGGAGAGGAAGAGAAGCAAAGGAUGGUCAAAGAGAUCUGUGACACCGUUUUGACUGCAAGAAGGGUUUUUCCUUCACUGACACCCUGGUUAGUGCCACCUUGCUGCAAGGAGAUCUGUUUGGUGCUCAUGCUCUACAUGCGAAGGCAUACCCCAUAUUGGAUCAAGCAAAGCUGCACACAGAGCUCUCCCUCAUCUACGAAAACCCUGAGUGUAGGGGAUGCUGAGGUGCACUGGCACUUUACUAGCUGCUUGUAUGUGGACAUUGGAUGUUGUUUGAUAUAUUUUAUCAUUGUAUCUUCUGUGUGUUAUAUUUCUGUAUUUGGACUUUUACUGCUACCCACAGAGCAUUGUGAACUGUGAUAACAUAUUUUAGACACCCUUCUCUUUGUAUCUUGCUUGUCUACCAUUGUGCCUUUGUUCAAAUACCUUUUUUAUUCAGUAAAACAUUUGAAUUUGA